rnacentral:tRNA from 2 species
GGCAAUCUGUCCGAGUGGUCAAGGAGUACGUCUCGAACCAAAACGCCCGCGUGGUUCGACCCCCUCUGGGGGAGGAAACGUAUAGGCUCUGCCUGCACAGGUUCGAAUCCUGUGGUUGUCG